CACAAGGCCCACUUCUGCUCUUGCAGGCUCACAGCUCACUGCAGAAUGGAUGAGCGAGACUGAACUGCUGACCUCAAGCAACUGGCAAGUGUUUUUUCAGACCUGUGAGAAUGCUGACCCUAGAAAAAAGAAGUACUGCACGCUAACUUUGGAUUAAUUAUUUCCUUAGGAUUCUGGAAAGGUAAAACUCCUAAUAGCUGUGCUGAAGGGCAGACUUACCACUCUGACUAGUGAAGACAGACUUGAUAACAAGCACUGAAUGCAAGAGGAACUUCAAGAAUGUGUUUCACACUGUGAAGUUGUGCUUCCAGAAAAUGUUGUUCCUUGUAUGAUAAUUUAUAAGGAUGUAAAAGUGAACUUUACAUUUAAAGCGAGUGAAAAAUGAAACUGAAGAAGGAGGUUUUGUGCUGACCUUAGACCAGACAUCUGCCAGAGGAGUCACCUAGUACAAGCUCCAACCCCAUGCACAUAGUUGAAAAUGCUUUGGAAAGAAAAGUGAUAAAUUGGUUCUGGGCCACUGGAUGAUUUUCCUCAUUGUGAUGAUCUGCUAGGUGUACUUUGCAUCAGCAGUGUUGUACAGGAUGUUGGGAUCUGGUCAGCCUCUUCAAGAGAGGAAAAACUUGUAUACCUGAAAAAAGCUUGUAAGAUUUUUCAACUAAUGGAGAAAUGUAAGCAAUUUCAACUAAUGGAGAAAUUUUAGGAUUUAGAUCUUCACCGGAAGUUCUUCUUUAUGCAUUGAUAUUUAGCAAAUAUGUGACAAAUAUUUGAGUUAAUACCCUGAUUUAUGUAAUUUCUACAGAAAUUAAUUUGAAAUAUCAGUUGCAAGAUUACUUACCCACCUGCUGUCUUACUGCUUGAGAAUAAUGUUUAUGUUCCCUUUGGUCAGAUUCUUCCCUCUCUGGAGAGAACAUGUUGUAACUUCCAGGCUGAUUAUCAAUUAAACUGGAACUAAAGAGCAUUUCUUGCAUUUAUAAUUGGCCUUCUUGUGUUGAUUUUUGCAUAUUUUCACCCCAACUUUAAUCCCUAGGCUACUUUUGGUACUUGGCAGCAGUGCCUUAUCACCUAUGCACUGCAUAUUCAGUCCCAUUCCAUGUGGAAUAAAUUCUCAUGUUUCCUUCA
ensembl:lncRNA